GGCUUUCAGCCAGGGAAGGAGGUGCAGCAGCAAUGGCUGCCCACCUUUUUGCACCUCAGCAGCAGUAGUCAACAUUCAGAGCAUACAUCCCCAGUAUUUGGAAGACAGGGGUAGGGGGUGUUGAGUUUGUUUGUUUGUUUGUUUGCUUGCUUAUCCUGGUUCUCACAAUCUGUGUUGAAGCUACUCAAAGAACUUGAGAAUAGCUUCCUGCCACAUGGCUGGAGUGGGGGAUGAGUGAUUAAUGUGCUAAGAGCUAACAUUGAACAAAAUUUACCACACUUUACUGCCUACCCUGGAUAUUGUAACUCUUCAAUACACUCAAGUUCCAAACAAUUUCAUCAGACAUUUUUUGCUGGUAUAAUUGUUGUCUUGGUAGGGAAACUGAUUUCUGGUCCUUCCUACUCCACUAUUUUCCCAGAAUCCUCUCCUUAUAUUUUUUUCUCAUUUGUUUUUGCCUUGAUUAUUUUUUAAAAAUGGUAAAUUUAAAAUUGAUAAGCUUCUAUGAAUCAAAGUAACCGUAUGACAGCAGGUUGUAAUUGCCACAGCUAUUUCCACAGACUGAUGCAGCUUUGAUGCAAAAGGUCUUAAAGAAAGGUAUGGAUGCUCUCACUUAACUGAAGCUUUACCCUUACAAAUGACUACAGAAAUAUAUUGUAAUACAAAGGAUUGAGAGUAGAUGUAUUAUAUAGAAUAUCUAGAAGCUAAUGUAGUCUCAAGAUAAGCCAAAAUGUGCAGAAAUUUCUGCUUUGUCACAACAGAAAAUGGAAGGAUAAAAUGGAAGAGGAAAGUUAUUUGCCCAACACACCUGACAUAAUAUGACAGAACAAACAUAGGAUGAUAGCUAUAGAUGUUUUGGUUCAAACAGAAGGAAAUUAAAGAUUAAAAAAAAAAAGUCGCUGGCUAAUGGCUUUUCUGAUAUCCAGCCUAGCAAAUGUUGGGAAUCUGUUGACUAGAUUUCAAAGCCUGGGGAUACUUCUCCAUGGUUUUCAGCUUUACCUUCUUGGUUCUUGGUUCUGCCCUGAGUCAUCCUUCAUUUUUUGAUGAAAGGCAGCACAUGUUUGCAGCUGAGUAAUUUUAUCAGCCUGCUUCCUGCCAAUAUAAUUUUGGAAAUCUGAUGGCCUCCUUUCGUUUUGUACCCUUUCUGUCCCUUUCAUUCCAAGUUGGCAGUGUUUCUGCCGAAAUACAUUUCUCAAAAUCUUAAUGUCUUUUGUGAAUUUCACUGGGAUUCACUCCAUUAGAAAAAAGGCACAUCCACAGGUCUUUCCCAGAUAAUCCUUUCUCUAUUGCAGGCUCCUGCUGAGAUGGCUGAGGUGCAAUCUCUUGAAACUCCUAAAGGCCCUUUGGUUUGACUGAAAGGAUCUGUGAGACACACCCUUCCUGGUCCAACUGAAUAAUCGGAGCUUUUGGUCUUUCUGAGGUUUUAGCACAAGGUUUUAUUGUCACCCUCUCUACCUUUUCUACUGAUCCUGCUUGCCUGGCAGAGAAUCUCUUACUUUCAGUGUCUUUUGCCAUCUGUAGAGUCAAUUUUAAAAUCAAGUCCUAUUUCCUCUUUACUUAACAGUUUUAAUCUCAAUUUCUGUCUCCUCCUCCCUCACUCCCCCCUCCUCUUGCAUUUUACUAUAACUGGCAAGGAGAAACCAAGUCAUGCUUUCAAAACAUUGCUUGGAAGUUUUUUGGAUUAUAUAUGCAACCUUGUUGCUUACAAAUACUAUUGCUGACAUAACUGCAAGAGACAGUUUCACUAAGCUUUCUGCCAGUAAAGCAAGGAUCUCCCUUCUUUCUGUUUCCAAAAACAUUUUUUAAAAUCUUUUUCUUUCUUUCUUUCUUUUUUUUUUUUUUUCCUUUUUAGGGCCACCCCUGCAGCAUAUAUGGAAGUUCCCAGGCUAGGCAUCCAACUGGCUACGCCACAGCCACAGCAAUGCCAGAUCCAAACCACAUCUGCGAACUUCACCACAGCUUGUGGCAAUGCCGGAUCCUUAACCCACUGAGCGUGGCCUGAGUUCUCAUGGAUAAUAGUUGGGUUUGUUACCGCUUAGCCACAAUAGGAAUGCCAAACAUUUUAUUUUUAAAUUUCCUUCUGUUACUGGAUGCAGUGGGUCCAUCACUUGAGGUGCUUAGCCAGUGAACAUACCAAGUGUUUUUGAUUAAAGCGGAAACAUUCAUUAUUUGUGACCAGUAAGACGAUAGGGAGAAUGCUCUCAAAGCACUCUCUCUCCUAGAACAUCAAAAUCAGGGAAGGAUUUUUUUUUCUUUUUUCUUUUUAGGGCCACACCUGUGGCAUAUGGAAGUUUCCAAACUAGGGGUCCAAUAAGAGCUGUAGCCGCUGGCCUACGCCACAGCCAUGGCGACACCGACUCCAAGCUACAUCUCUGCCUAUAUUAUAGCUUGUAGCAGUUCCGGAUCCUUAACCCACUGAGCAGGGGAGUUCCCUUUGUGGCUCAGCAGUUAACAAACCGCACGAGGGUCCAUGAGGAUGUGGGUUCCAUCCCUGGCCUAACUGGGUGGGUCGAAGAUCAGUGUUGCCGUGAGCUGUGGUGUAGGUCGCAGAUGUGGCUUGGAUCUGGCGUUGCUGUGACUGUGGUGUAGGCCGGCAGCUAUAGCUCUGAUUUGACCGCUAGCCUGGGAACAUCCAGAUGUUGCAGGUGCAGCCCCCC
rnacentral:lncRNA from 1 species